CACAUAUUGAUGGCACCACAAAUACUUCUCCUAUUGCAGGCUUGACUUGAGACACCACUACUGAAGGUAUUUAACUGGUUUGUGCCUCUUGAUAGCUUUGUAGCUCUAUGAAUUGUUUUCCAAAUAAACAUAUGAAUUUCCUGGGAAAAUCAGUGAACUCCAUGGUUUGUUUGUCAUUGCAGCCUCUCGCUUCCUACAGAGGUGGCCGAUUUGAAGGAAAAUAGCUGAGCACUGAGUUGAUGGUGUUUGCUAUAUAUUGUGUUAUUCUGCAGUUCAAGGAGCUCAAGAUAAUCUGCUUGAAGAUCCAGAUGUGGGUCUCCACACCACGCAUGUCCUUGGAGUAUCAACAGUGGCAAAGUGACAUCACAAUGAUCUAAAAUAUGUUGUGUCCGCCUAUGAUAUGAUACUGAUAGUGAAGGUAAAUAGUUGGUCUUCUCAGCUUUCAUUAUCUCCUUUCACAGUAUAAUUUCCCUCAACUAUUGUCGGAUGCAGCUCAUGUGAUAACUUCUUACUUUUUUUGCGAGAGAGAAACUUCUUACGGAAUUACGUGUUGUUAUUCGCACUCUGGCACCUAGAGACCUACUCACGCACAUUGGGUUCACGAUGAUCUUGGAGAAACACUUUAGAUGGAUGACAAGCAGAUGUAGUUACAAGAUGGUGGAGAAAUAAGCUAUUGGGUGUUGGUACUUGCCUUUUUUAUUUGUGAUAGAAUGCUGGUACUUGCCUUUUUUAUUUGUGAUAGGAUGUUGGUACCUGCCUUCGAGUGUGUUAUUGUGGCGAUACGUUCUUUUUCUUUAUUAAUUCCCAGAGGCAAAGAUAGUUCAACUUUCUUUGAUUCUAUAUAUGAUGAGUUUGUCCAGCAAUCCUAAAUCAUGUAAGUAUUUUAUUUGCUUG
rnacentral:lncRNA from 1 species